AACCUUUAGAUAAAUAAUUAAAGGCGUGUCCUGCUCAAUGAGUUUCAUUAAAUAGCCGCAGUACACUGACUGUGCUAAGGUAGCAUAAUCAUUUGGCUUUUAAUUGGAGUCUAGUAUGAAAGGAAUGACUUAGGUUUAACUGUCUUAUAUAUACAUUGUUUAACUUACUUAAUAGGUGAAAAUUCCUAUAUAUUUAUUAAAAGACGAGAAGACCCUUAGACUUUUUUAUAUAUAAAUAUUACUAUAAUUUAUGCUAUUUUGUUGGGGCGACAAAGAUUCAAAUUGGUAAACAAUCUCUUAAUGAAAUUUUAUAUAUUAGGAUUUAUCUCUAUAAAUUAAAGUACCUAAGGGAUAACAGCAUAAUUAAAUAUUUAGAUUGUGACCUCGAUGUUGGACUAAGAAAUUAUUUAUUAAGAAGAUAAAUAAAAUGGUUCUGUUCGAACUUUAAUCUCUU
rnacentral:rRNA from 1 species